rnacentral:lncRNA from 1 species
AAAAAAUUCAGGUGCGGUUUGUCAUAAUGGGAAAUCUAUUUUGUUCCGAGUACUCCAUCCACAGACGCUUCGAUUUGAAAGGAUCUUCUCUUGGCCGUACAACCGAUAAACCUGAAUCAGAAAUCAAUUCAAAUACAAUCUUGAAAGAUCUUGAUCUGAAUUUCAUUUUUAGACUACAGAAAGCUUGGUUCCAAGAAUUUAUCAGGUUAGAGAUUCAUCAAUCAAUCUCUUUCCAUUGACCAUUUUCAUUGUUAUUUAUCAUCCCGAUUGUGUUUUUGUUCAGGCAAGUCGACAAAGACUGUGAGUUCUUGGAACAGGAGAGAAUAAUGGAUUACAGUCUUCUGGUUGGGAUUCAUUUCAGAGAAGCAUCAGUCGCCGGAGAGCUGAUUCCUUCUGGUGCUCGCACGCCCAUUGGUUCGCACUUCUAACACAACUAAAUAUCAUUUGUCUCCUUUAGAAUCCAUGAAGCAAAU